AUACGUAGGGUGCAAGCGUUAAUCGGAAUUACUGGGCGUAAAGCGUGCGCAGGCGGUUAUGUAAGACAGAGGUGAAAUCCCCGGGCUCAACCUGGGAACUGCCUUUGUGACUGCAUAGCUGGAGUGCGGCAGAGGGGGAUGGAAUUCCGCGUGUAGCAGUGAAAUGCGUAGAUAUGCGGAGGAACACCGAUGGCGAAGGCAAUCCCCUGGGCCUGCACUGACGCUCAUGCACGAAAGCGUGGGGAGC
rnacentral:rRNA from 1 species